CGUCAGCUCGUGUCGUGAGAUGUUGGGUUAAGUCCCGCAACGAGCGCAACCCCUACUGUUAGUUGCCAUCAUUUAGUUGGGCACUCUAGCGAGACUGCCGGUAAUAAACCGGAGGAAGGUGGGGAUGACGUCAAAUCAUCAUGCCCCUUAUGACCUGGGCUACACACGUGCUACAAUGGCUGGUACAACGAGUCGCGAGUCGGUGACGGCAAGCUAAUCUCUUAAAGCCAGUCUCAGUUCGGAUUGUAGGCUGCAACUCGCCUACAUGAAGUCGGAAUCGCUAGUAAUCGCGGAUCAGCACGCCGCGGUGAAUACGUUCCCGGGCCUUGUACACACCGCCCGUCACACCACGAGAGUUUGUAACACCCGAAGUCGGUGAGGUAACCGUAAGGAGCCAGCCGCCUAAGGUGGGAUAGAUGAUUGGGGUGAAGUCGUAACAAGGUAGCCGUAUCGGAAGGUGCGGCUGGAUCACCUCCUUUCUAAGGAAAUGGAAACCUGUACGUUGGU
rnacentral:rRNA from 1 species